AGCAUAUCUCUUCUUGCUAAUCAGCAAAUAUGGGUAAUAAAUCUUCUCAAAUUCUAGUUUUAUUGGUUUGAUAAAUGUCCCGCUAAUGUAAUCAGCAGCUUCUCUGCCCAAUUUCAUAGCCUCUUCCACUGUAGGCACACCAAACUGCACCAUCACAGAAUCUGUAUCUCCAUAUAUAACCUCAGCGUUGUGUUCAUAGCCCCCAAGUACUGUAAACCUG
rnacentral:misc_RNA from 1 species